rnacentral:rRNA from 1 species
GACGAACGCUGGCGGCGUGCUUAACACAUGCAAGUCGAACGAAGUGGCGAACGGGUGAGUAACGCGUAAUCAACCUGCCCUUCAGGGGGGAACAACAGUUGGAAACGACUGCUAAUACCGCAAACUGAAGGGGGGGAUUGCGUCUGAUUAGCUAGUUGGAGGGGUAACGGCCAACCAAGGCGAUGAUCAGUAGCCGGUUCGAGAGGAUGAACGGCCACAUUGGGACUUAGACACGGCCCAGGAUCCUACGGGAGGCAGCAGUGGGGAAUCUUCCGCAAUGGACGAAAGUCUUACGGAGCAACGCCGCGGGAGUGAUGACGGCCUUCGGGUUGUAAAGCUCUGUUAAUCGGGACGCGGUACCUGAAUAGAAAGCCACGGCUAACUACGUGCCAGCAGCCGCGGUAAUAC